AGUGAACGCUGGCGGUAGGCCUAACACAUGCAAGUCGAACGGCAGCACAGUAAGAGCUUGCUCUUACGGGUGGCGAGUGGCGGACGGGUGAGGAAUACAUCGGAAUCUACUUUUUCGUGGGGGAUAACGUAGGGAAACUUACGCUAAUACCGCAUACGACCUACGGGUGAAAGCAGGGGAUCUUCGGACCUUGCGCGAUUGAAUGAGCCGAUGUCGGAUUAGCUAGUUGGCGGGGUAAAGGCCCACCAAGGCGACGAUCCGUAGCUGGUCUGAGAGGAUGAUCAGCCACACUGGAACUGAGACACGGUCCAGACUCCUACGGGAGGAAGCAGUGGGGAAUAUUGGACAAUGGGCGCAAGCCUGAUCCAGCCAUACCGCGUGGGUGAAGAAGGCCUUCGGGUUGUAAAGCCCUUUUGUUGGGAAAGAAAAGCAGAAGGUGAAUACCCCGCUGUUCUGACGGUACCCAAAGAAUAAGCACCGGCUAACUUCGUG
rnacentral:rRNA from 1 species